CACCUGCCUCCCAGACUGGCCUUAUGACAGACAGAAUAUCUAAUCCAUGCUGGCCUUGAACUCACUGAACAGCCAAGCUGACAUUGAGCUUCAGAUUUUCCUGGCUUCACCUCAUCAGUAUUGGAAUUAGAAGCAUGGAUCUCCAAGCCCGGUUUAUGUGGAACUGGGAAUGGGACCGAGGCUUUCAUGAGUGCUGGUUAAGCAUCCGGGCAGCGCGGCUACAUUUCCAGCCCACUUAUGCUCACCAAAAGUUAAAAAGAAAAAUCUGAUCACAAAGAAGGUUGCGGAGAUUUAGAGAAAAGUAAGAUUUAUUCCUGAAAUCCAAAGUGCUCCACCCUCCAGAUACUAGCUCCUCAGCCAAGUCCCG
rnacentral:lncRNA from 1 species